UGCUGCUCCAUUCACCUGCAAUUCUUUUGUCUUAAUAUAAGUGUUCGUUUGCUACUUUUCAUAUGGAUUACAUUUACUAAUAUGCAUCUUUAAUAUACUAUACUACUUACUAACUAUAUUAAAACUUAAUAUAAGUUUUAUCAUCAAUUCAUCAUUUCAAUUAUUGUAUACGGAUCAGGAUAUUUUGGUGUGUGCCCAUUCCCUUUUUGUAUACUACUUUUAGAUAAGAAAUAAGAGCCAUAUAAACUUCUUUAUUUUGUUGUAGUUUUUUUUGUUCUGUUUUGGAUAAUUUAAUGUUGUGGUUACUCACCAUUCCUCUCCCACAUCUAA